AACGAACGCUGGUGGUAUGCCUAAUACAUGCAAGUCGAACGAGAAAGCUCUUCGGAGUGAGUACAGUGGCGCACGGGUGAGUAACGCGUAGGUGAUCUGCCUUUUAGUGGGGGACAACAUCGGGAAACCGGUGCUAAUACCGCAUGUGAUAGAUGACAUUGAAAAAAUUUAUCAAAGAGGGCUUCGGCUCUCGCUAGAAGAGGAGCCUGCGUGACAUUAGUUUGAUGGUGGGGUAAUGGCCUACCAUGGCGAUGAUGUCUAGCUGGUCUGAGAGGAUGAUCAGUCACACUGGAACUGAGACACGGUCCAG
rnacentral:rRNA from 1 species